UACGUAGGGUGCGAGCGUUGUCCGGAAUUAUUGGGCGUAAAGAGCUCGUAGGCGGUCUGUCGCGUCGAUCGUGAAAACUUGGGGCUUAACCCUGAGCUUGCGGUCGAUACGGGCAUGACUGGAGUUCGGCAGGGGAGACUGGAAUUCCUGGUGUAGCGGUGAAAUGCGCAGAUAUCAGGAGGAACACCGGUGGCGAAGGCGGCAUCUGGACCGACAUUGACGCUGAGGCGCGAAAGCCAGGGGAGCAAACGGG
rnacentral:rRNA from 1 species